rnacentral:rRNA from 1 species
CCUACGGGAGGCAGCAGUAGGGAAUCUUUCACAAUGGGCGAAAGCCUGAUGGAGCAACGCCGCGUGCAGGAUGAAGGCCUUCGGGUUGUAAACUGCUUUUAUAAGCGAGAAAUAUGAUGGUAACUUAUGAAUAAGGAUCGGCUAACUACGUGCCAGCAGCCGCGGUCAUACGUAGGAUCCGAGCAUUAUCCGGAGUGACUGGGUGUAAAGAGUUGCGUAGGUGGCAUAAUAAGUAGCUAGUGAAAUCUGGUGGCCCAACCAUUCAGACUAUUAGCGAAACUGUUAAGCUCGAGACCGUUAGGAGUAAGUGGAAUGUGUAGUGUAGGAGUGAAAUCCGUAGAUAUUAGGAGGAACACCGAUAGCGUAGGCAGGUUACUGGGACGGUUCUGACACUAAGGCACGAAAGCGUAGGGAGCGAACGGGAUUAGAUACCCCUGUAGUC